rnacentral:rRNA from 1 species
UACGUAGGGUGCGAGCGUUGUCCGGAAUUACUGGGCGUAAAGCGUGCGUAGGUGGUUCGUUAAGUCUGAUUUGAAAGCCCUGGGCUCAACCUGGGAAUGGCAUUGGAAACUGGUGAUCUAGAGUGCGGUAGAGGGUAGUGGAAUUCCCGGUGUAGCAGUGAAAUGCGUAGAGAUCGGGAGGAACAUCUGUGGCGAAGGCGACUGCCUGGACCAGCACUGACACUGAGGCACGAAAGCGUGGGGAGCAAACAGG